GGGGAUUUAGCUCAGUGGUAGAGCGCUUGCCUAGCAGAUGCAAGGCCCUGGGUUCGGUCCCCAGCUCCG
rnacentral:tRNA from 1 species